AUGGUCAGGAUUCUUGAUGCCCCCAAGCUACAUUCGUUUGGAUUCUUGGAGCCAGGCAAUCAUGUCCUGGGGUUCGGAGACACCGUCAUAAUGGCUGGGAUAAAGGAGAGUGCGGCGACCAUUGUCGCAAGCGUUAAGAUCCUGAGCUUAAAUGUGCGUUUUGGAGUCCCCAAUGAGGCAAGGAUGGUGCCCAUGUUCCUUAAAUGCUUUCCCAAUGUCGUGCGACUCCAUAUCAUGUCCAGAAAAUGUGAUCGGUCCGCUGGUAGGCUCAGCCUCAAUUUCCAGGAGGGUCCUACUGAAAGUGCUAUGUUGCACAUAGUCCAGAUGUAUUUCCGUGAAUUCCGAGGGGAACAAGGCGAGGUUGCCUUCCUCAAGUCGAUCUUCCCAAAGGUGCUGGAGACUGCGGUGAUUAUAAUGGCAAACCCAAGCUUCACUCCAUUUUCAGUAGCCGUGGCGUUCUCCAAACUGAAGGAGGCUUCUGAGGUCAUAAGGUGCUGCGAAGUGCUGCUUCUUAAGAGUACAGGGCCCGAAGGAGGCAAAGCAUGGAGUUUUAAAGAAGGAAGUGAUUUUUCAUGCGAGGACCCUUUUUUAGCAGUGGAGAGCAGCCUAUUCACUCAGCAGCAGUCGAAGUUUAUUAGAUUUGAUGAAUUAGGAAACAGGCAUGACAUCUGCUUCAAAAUGCCUGUGAGGAGUGGAAGAUUUUUGGAUGUGCUGAACUAUGAAGCAUCCAUGGUAUCUGCUUCUUUAAGUAGCCGCCCCUGA
rnacentral:rRNA from 1 species